UUUGAUGGGAAAUAUCAUCAAAAAAUAAUAAUGCAAUGGAUGCCAACGUAUAUCUUUCUUUUUUCCCCCAUAAAUAGUAUCGAGGAUCAAUUCCAAAGACCUCAGUUGGAUUCUGACACUGUGGAGCACACCAGAGCGAUUUCACCAUCAGAAGCUGAAUCUCCUGAUUCAACCCCAGUCCCAAGUGCAUCAACAAUCAUCAAUAUUCCCAUUUCAAGGACUUCUUCAUCAAGCUCAACUUCACAAGGAAGUCAGAUCAGAUCUGGUGUGACACAACUCAUGCAAGGCCCCCUUUCAAGGU